rnacentral:rRNA from 1 species
GACAGAGGGGGCAAGCGUUGCUCGGAAUUACUGGGCGUAAAGGGCGCGUAGGCGGGAUGGCAAGUCGGUCGUGAAAUCCCUCGGCUCAACUGAGGAGCGUCGAUCGAAACUGCCGUUCUUGAGGGUUGCAGAGGAGACUGGAAUUCCCGGUGUAGCGGUGAAAUGUGUAGAGAUCGGGAGGAACACCGGUGGCGAAGGCGGGUCUCUGGGCAUCUCCUGACGCUGAGGCGCGAAAGCGUGGGGAGCAAACGGG